rnacentral:precursor_RNA from 12 species
AAAAACCUUCAGAAGCAAGGUUUUCUGAACUGCCGGGAAACUACAGGACCGAAGCAUCAUGUCCUCAUUCUGCAACAUGCCUCCUGGGUUUUCUUUGGCAGGAAUGCUUCACAUAUGUCCUCAAGGGCCAC